rnacentral:rRNA from 1 species
UACGAAGGGGGCUAGCGUUGCUCGGAAUGACUGGGCGUAAAGGGCGCGUAGGCGGUUUGCACAGUCAGGCGUGAAAUUCCUGGGCUUAACCUGGGGGCUGCGCUUGAUACGUGUGGACUGGAGUUCGGAAGAGGGUCGUGGAAUUCCCAGUGUAGAGGUGAAAUUCGUAGAUAUUGGGAAGAACACCAGUGGCGAAGGCGGCUCACUGGCCCGUAACUGACGCUGAGGUGCGAAAGCGUGGGGAGCAAACAGGG